rnacentral:rRNA from 1 species
UACAGAGGUGGCAAGCGUUGUUCGGAAUUACUGGGCGUAAAGGGCGCGUAGGCGGUCUUCUAAGUCUUGUGUGAAAUCCCUCGGCUCAACUGAGGAACUGCACGGGAUACUGGAUGACUUGAGUUCGGGAGAGGGAAGCGGAAUUCCUGGUGUAGCGGUGAAAUGCGCAGAUAUCAGGAGGAACACCGGUGGCGAAGGCGGGUCUCUGGGCCGUAACUGACGCUGAGGAGCGAAAGCAUGGGGAGCGAACAGG